UCAUUGAUGACAGAUAUCCACCAUAAUUGCACACAUCUAUGAGCCUGAAUAUUUAGUAAAGAAUCAGCAGCAGGUCUUAGCAAUAGUAAUUAAAUGGGCGGAAUGUGAAUGUAAAUAAUGUAGCUACAGAUGUGGGAAGAGUCAGCAUGGGUUUGGGAUAAAUAAUGUGGUUUGUGUUUGAGUGAAUCAGAUUACAGGCUGACUGAGUGAGGAUGUGCCUGGAUCAGCACAGAGGGGAGUGGUAAUUAUUUGGCGAGGGAAAGAUGCCAUCUGGCAAAUGGCAACAGGACUCAUGGGGAGUGUGAGAGAGAGAGAGGAGCAGCUUCUUCAUCUCCACUAACAGGAAACACUAUUCAAAUGUUCAGUAAGUGUUCCCUUACAGAAGAGACACAAGUGAAUAAUCACUCACCAUUUCUUAGCCACGUGAUAUUAAUAAAGAGAAAUUCGGUGUAAAAGUAGUGAAAACAGCAAACUUUGGACUCAAAGUUCCAGAAUCCAAUCUAGCUGACACAGUUGUGCUGAUUUAUACCAGAGACUCGUCGUGGCUAGUCUAUGAGAUGACGAGCGUGAUGGAGAUGACGGAGGUAUUACCAUGAAAGUUGACGCUUUGAAAGCUGAUCUGAGGUGGGUUCCCCGUUCCAAUUACUUUGUCAUCCUGUCUGUAAGAACAUCCUUUAAUUAAGGAGUGUUUCCCAAAACCCUUCAUAACAAAUGUACUAUGUUAACUAGUUCUGUAAAUUAGUGAGUAACCUAACCCAUUCGUUAUUCACUAAGUACUUUGUUAAUUUCUAUACAAAAACCCUCACAGUUAUAUAACAUGAGUGUGAGUCACUGCCUUAGUGUUAACUUUAGCUGCAGGAUUGUACUUUAUAUAGUGGUGUAGUGUGUCGUUUGGCCGCUUCGCAGUGCUUGUGUAUUAGGCACGAACAUCAGCUCGAGUGACUGUUUGUGUGGGGUUACAGGUCAUUUUUAAAACUGUGUCCAAAUAAAUCAAUUCACAUGAAAACAACAAGAAGUUAAAUGUAAGAGAUGAAUUAAGUCACUGAUUCAUUUAUUGAAUUUAACUCCGGAUUGUGAACUGAUUCUUUAUUGACUCAUGUGUUUUUUUUUUCCAAGGUAAGAUUAUUCGCUAAGAUUCCUCGUUAUCAGGAAACCCAGCCCUGUUUGAGCAGAGUAUACAGAUGAGGAGGUGUUAGAGCUGGACAGACUAAAGGACUAAAGUUAUGCUGCAUCACUCUCUUUAGUGUUUACCACAGAGGAACUACAUGAAUACACACUCCCUGUGUUUACAGCUCAAGUCGAGGUCAUGCUGCAGUGAAAACAAGACUGGACGGGUUUCAGGCUCAUCUUCAGACUCAUUGACAGGAGUGGCAUCCUGCAGCUUUAUCCCAG
ensembl:lncRNA